CCUACGGGUGGCAGCAGUGAGGAAUAUUGGUCAAUGGGCGCGAGGCUGAACCAGCCAAGUCGCGUGAGGGAAGACGGUCCUAUGGAUUGUAAACCUCUUUUGUCGAGGAGCAAAAGACGCCACGCGUGGCGGUCCGAGAGUACCCGAAGAAAAAGCAUCGGCUAACUCCGUGCCAGCAGCCGCGGUAAUACGGAGGAUGCGAGCGUUAUCCGGAUUUAUUGGGUUUAAAGGGUGCGCAGGCGGAAGAUUAAGUCAGCGGUAAAAUUGAGAGGCUCAACCUCUGCGAGCCGUUGAAACUGGUUUUCUUGAGUGAGCGAGAGGUAUGCGGAAUGCGCGGUGUAGCGGUGAAAUGCAUAGAUAUCACGCAGAACUCCGAUUGCGAAGGCAGCAUACCGGCGCUCAACUGACGCUGAGGCACGAAAGUGUGGGUAUCGAACAGGAUUAGAUACCUUUGUAGUC
rnacentral:rRNA from 1 species